AAGUCGUAACAAGGUUCCCUUCUGCAGCGCAGCUCCGGAGACCUUGCACCCCCAACGGGAGGCAGCACGACGAUAAACAAAGCUCGCCGCGUGCAAGUUGGCCCUACGGUCAGUAACACAAUCGAAUUGACGGGGACCUCCUAAAGCCUGCAACACCAACCGUCCGGGGAAACUCGAGCGGGGCCCUCACGGGGUGGUAAGAGAGUGCAGGAUGAACAAUGGACGAUCCGCAGCGAAGACCCUACCGGCGAGAGCCCACGGGUACCGUUCACAGACUAAGUGAUUGUGGGCGGGGCAUCAGGCCCCGUCUAAGAUAUAGUCGGUCUCUGCUCGAAAGGGCAGAGCCUAGCGCGUCCGUAGGUGAACCUGCGGAAGGAUCAUUAAAGAAUCGCCCCGUUUUUUGAAAUGGGUUCUAUUCCCAAACCGUGUAUACAUACCUUUGUUGCUUUGGCAGGCCGCCUUUUAGGCGUCGGCUCCGGCUGACUGCGCCUGCCAGAGGACCCAAACUCUCGUUUGUUUAGUGAUGUCUGAGUACUAUAUAAUAGUUAAAACUUUCAACAACGGAUCUCUUGGUUCUGGCAUCGAUGAAGAACGCAGCGAAAUGCGAUAAGUAAUGUGAAUUGCAGAAUUCAGUGAAUCAUCGAAUCUUUGAACGCACAUUGCGCCCCUUGGUAUUCCGAGGGGCAUGCCUGUUCGAGCGUCAUUAUAACCACUCAAGCCUCGGCUUGGUCUUGGGGUUCGCGGUUUCGCGGCCCUUAAAAUCAGUGGCGGUGCCGUCUGGCUCUAAGCGUAGUAAUUCUCUCGCUAUAGGGUCCAGGUGACCACCUGCCAUAACCCCCCCAUUCUUUACGGUUGACCUCGGAUCAGGUAGGGAUACCCGCUGAACUUAA
rnacentral:rRNA from 1 species